UACAGAGGGGGCAAGCGUUGUUCGGAAUUACUGGGCGUAAAGGGCGCGUAGGCGGCCUGUUAAGUCGAGCGUGAAAUCCCCGGGCUCAACCCGGGAACUGCGUCCGAUACUGGCAGGCUUGAAUCCGGGAGAGGGAUGCGGAAUUCCAGGUGUAGCGGUGAAAUGCGUAGAGAUCUGGAGGAACACCGGUGGCGAAGGCGGCAUCCUGGACCGGCAUUGACGCUGAGGCGCGAAAGCCAGGGGAGCAAACGGG
rnacentral:rRNA from 1 species